AGAGAGAGAGAGAGAGAGAGAGAGAGAGAGAGAGAGAGAGAGAGAGAGAGAGAGCUAGUGAUGACAUUCCAUGGUGAUUUUUUUUAAUUUGAAGUGAUACAGAAAACAACUUCUUAUGAAAUCACCCAUGGAAGAUCAAUAAGGGAGAAAUUUGCCCAUUUGCUAAUAAGUGAAAUUUCAACUUAAUUAAAGAUGAAAACGUAGGAAGAUCCCUGGAAAUCCUUAUUCCAUACAAAUCGAUAUUUAACAUACGGUAUGAAACUCUGCAGUUAAUUCAUUUGGGCAGUAAAUGAAAGUAAUAGAAAGACCCAUAACAGUGAGUGCCCAGUUAGCAAAUUUAACUCAUCUUAUCUGCAGUACUAAAUACGAAUGACAUUUCCGAAUCUUCAAUAGCAAAUCUGGGUAAUGGCCAGAAAGCCAUCAUAAAGGAACUAGGAAUUUUCUUGGCCUUGUAUUCUUCACAUAAAUAAUAGGCUGCACCACACCAUGAAGGAAGGGUAUUAUAAUUCCUAUGGACUCUGAUACCUAUUUCGACAGUGGAGUCUGGCAACUGCCGUGAUCUGAGCUUAGAUGUCACUAGUAAGGAAAAAAGAGCCCUGUAAAACUCGAAACCAACGAUGGAAAAGUGAAUUGAAAAACCAAGUAAAACUUGAUAUUUAAACAUAUCUGUAUUUACAUUUUCUGUCUUUGUCACGCAGGAAAGUGAAGUGAAUUUUAAAGUUCCAAAAUUUAUUUUAUUUCAAGAGCAUUCGGCUACAUAGUUUUAUUUAAAGCUAUCCAUUUUUUUUAUUAUUGAAUGUGCCUUGGUACUGUUUUGGUGAUAUGAACGAAACCGGUUUUAUUCUGGGUCAAAAAAGAAAAAAACAAACAAAUAGAAGGGCAUGAAAACUAUAUAAUGUGGGUUAUGAGGAGCAAAACAGCGUAAAAUGUAAAUCAAGAGUGAUCCAGUGACAAAAACAAUAUCGACAUUUCAGAAAGAAAUUCCAUGUAAAGGUUAAGAAUAAGUAAGACAGAAUAAUUCAAAACAGCAAACAUGAAAACUGGAUUUAACUGAUGACCGAAGUAGAAAAGCAGAACAUGAAGGGAAAAACAAAUACGAGUCAAGUGAAAUUGCAAUGAAUGUAUUGAACAAAAGAAUAGAAGGUUUGUAUGGGAUUAAGUAUGAAAAUUCUCAGUAAAGAUGGGAGAACAGAAAUCAUAGGCCCGAAAAGCAAAAUGGUCGACUUGGCAAAAUAAAAAAAGGCAUCUAGAAUUAGGUGGAAAAAUGAGAAUAUCCAGAGAAGAAUAGCAUAACUUGCAAUUUAUGAUCCGGAUAGAAGUUCCUGAAAUACGACAAUAUAUUGUGUCUUGUGCCAAUUAGAGUUGCAAAGUUGUUGGUUGAACCUGUUCUGAAUAUUAUUAAUAAUGAAUUAUUCGUGUGUUGGACGAAUUAAAACUUGCUCUUAUCCUUUCAAAGGGAAAAUUCAAAUGUGACGACUUCAUUGAGUAAAUCGUCUGUUUAUUCUGUACAAAAACAUUGUGCCUUUUCUGAAAGGCUGUGUUUGCUAUAACAUGUGAAUGGUUACCAAAAAGGAAAUAAUAUUGUUAAAAAAACACUUUUGCAAUUGAUUGAUAAUAUAAUCACCAAAACUCUGAACUUUGAAACUGACAGUCACGAACUGGAGGACAGCUAAAAGCAACGGUUAAUUAUCGUAAUCAUUACAAAAUAUAAUUUCACUAAAUAUGGCUAUGUAUCAUAACCUUAGUGUUCCGAGCCCAGGUUUGGGACAGCAAAACACUUUGCAGUACCUGUUGCACAACAUAACGAUUCCUUAUUCAGAGACCAGUUGGGACGACAGCAACAUUGAACGACUGAUCAACUUGACCUUCUCAGAAAACUCUCAAGUAUUCGAGGACUUGGGAGGAAUGCGUGAGAACACCGGGGAUCCGGAAGGACCCAACUCAACGACGGGGACAUUCCUAUACGAGGUGCCAACAGGGAUCGUUGUCCUUUUGUCGAUCUUCUACGGGACGAUUUCCCUUGUGGCUGUCGUGGGAAACGCUCUCGUCAUGUGGAUUGUGGCGACGUCGAGGAAGAUGCAUUCGGUCACCAAUUACUUCAUCGCUAAUUUGGCAUUGGCGAUAUCAUCAUAGGUCUGUUUGCAAUACCUUUCCAGUUCCAGGCAGCUCUUCUGCAACGCCUGGAAACCUCCCAGAAUUCAUGUGCGCCUUCUGCCCGUUCUUCCAGACCGUAAGCGUCAACGUGUCGAUAUUCACGCUAACAGCCAUUGCAGUGGACCGUUACAGAGCCAUCGUCUUCCCGCUAAACGCCAGACCUUCAAAAUUUAGGAGUAAGCUGGUGAUUGCAUCUAUCUGGGUAUUUAGCACGACAC